rnacentral:rRNA from 1 species
GAUGAACGCUAGCGACAGGCCUAACACAUGCAAGUCGAGGGGCAGCAUAAAUGUAGCAAUACAUUGGUGGCGACCGGCGCACGGGUGAGUAUCGCGUAUGCAACCUACCUACUACAGGGGAAUAGCCUUCCGAAAGGGAGAUUAAUACCGCAUAACACAGGGGCUCCGCAUGGAGAUAUUUGUUAAAGAUUUAUCGGUAGUAGAUGGGCAUGCGUUCCAUUAACUAGUUGGCGGGGUAAGGGCUCACCAAGGCAACGAUGGAUAGGGGAACGGAGAGGUUUGUCCCCCACACUGGUACUGAGACACGGACCAGACUCCUACGGGAGGCAGCAGUGAGGAAUAUUGGUCAAUGGGCGAGAGCCUGAACCAGCCAAGUCGCGUGAAGGAUGACGGUUCUAUGGAUUGUAAACUUCUUUUGUACGAGGGUAAAGUGAGCUACGAGUAGCUUAUUGCAAGUAUCGUACGAAUAAGCAUCGGCUAACUCCGUGCCAGCCGCCGCGGUAA